UACGUAGGGUGCAAGCGUUAAUCGGAAUUACUGGGCGUAAAGCGUGCGUAGACGGUUACAUAAGUCGGGUGUGAAAGCCCCGGGCUCAACCUGGGAAUUGCAUUCGAGACUGAAUAGCUAGGGUACGGUAGAGGGAAGCGGAAUUUCCGGUGUAGCGGUGAAAUGCGUAGAUAUCGGAAGGAACAUCAGUGGCGAAAGCGGCUUCCUGGACCAGUACCGACGUUCAGGCACGAAAGCCGUGGGGAGCAA
rnacentral:rRNA from 1 species